rnacentral:lncRNA from 1 species
CCAAGAAUUAUAUGCGAGGAACUGGAUGUAGAUCUGUUUAGAGUGUUUUCUUACCAACUAUGCUGAUGAGUUAGGUACUCCUUUCUCUGGAUGCAUCCCAUGUGCAAUCUCACUAGGUAGAUCCAUCCCAAGAGGAUUCUUUUUCCUGGAUAAUUACAGUAUAAACCCUAUAAAUUAAUAGCUUUGGGACCAUCAAAAUCUAUUAAUUUAACAUGAUAUUAAUUAAUCGAUAAAUUAAUAAUCUAGUAAUUUAGCGAAGUAUUAUAUUUUUCGGUUUUAUUCGAUGCAAACUGGAGAUUUAUAGCACCUAUAAUAAAUGAUGUAGAUAAUUACCAUACCCAUUCUAUGUACAAUGUGUUAAAUAUAUUUAACAAGAAACUCAAUUAGAUUUGGCUUUCAACAAAAAAGAGUCUUAGACUCUUAGUUAAAGAAGACACAAUGAAAAAUAAAAAAUUACGUAUUUUUUAAUAGAUUAUUAUCUUACAUAAUAGAUGGUACCUAUAUAAAUAUAUAAAGGUCUCUUUAAAUUAUACAUUUGGCGAAUGUAUUAAUUUAGUGCAUUGGCCCAAAUCGGGACUAACAAAUUCUAUUAAUUAAGCGAGAUUAUUAAUUAAUCGCGUAUCAAAUUAUCGGGGUUAUACUGUAGUUGUUCAGACAUCUGACCCUAACACACUGCUUAUAAAGGGACACAAAUUCAGCAACAUGUUCAUGUCAGAUACCAAGAAAAGAAAAAUAUACGAGAAGAUUAUAAUUACAGCAAACAAGUUCUUAACAAGCACCUUUUGUCAACAAUUACCACCGAACGCAGCUCACAAUUAGCAAACCUGCAGGCAAAUGGCAAAGCAACACCACAUAAGAAUUUGUUCACUAAACAAUGUCAAAUAAAAUCAGCAAUGCGACUUGAUAAAAGACAUAAUAGAGCCCAAGCGUGUGAAGUAAACACAUAAUGCCAAAAACUAUUGUACUCCAUCCACUAUUUUACAUCCUAACAGAGGAAAUCUGAAUAUAUAUAGAAGCACAAUAAUGCCACACACUAUUUUACUCCAUCCACGACAAUGUGAAAUUCAAAAACACCAUCUCAUGCUCUUCAAUAUGAGUUUUUUUUUUAUAUGAAACAGAAAAAAACGUACAUCCACAUCUCUUUUUUUUCUUUCUCUGGAAGGAAAAAAAUGUUUGAGCAAAGCACAAGGCAAAAAAGAAAGAAAAUGGGAAUCAGAAUGCUGAGUCUACGUCUUAGAGUACAACAGCAGAACAUCAAGGGACCUGCGAACACAUGUGUAUGCCGUGUGGCUACCUAACUACCCUCCUUACAUGAUCUUACAAAUAAACCAUACUCGGGAAGGAAAUAUGUAUAGUGUCUUAAAAGAAACUACUCUGUUUUCUUUUGUGCUAACAAAGCUCUUCUUGAAGAGAAAAGGAUACAUUGCUUAAACUUACUGUGCACAGAUCUCUUCCUUCAUUGUUGGAUGCAGAUCCUUUCCAAAUGCUGCUAGAGUAUGAAACAAAAAUGCACUAUGACUAACAAUUGCAAUCUCCUUCUCUUUCCUUGUCCACAGCCUAGAGAAAAUGGAAAGUUAAGUCCAAAGAGUCAAGUAUCCAACACAGGCAGUGGAAAAAGUGGGAGAAGUAAAAUACCCAAAAAUGAAGCAAGAACUAAUAUAACUUGAGAGUUAUUCAUAAUUUAACGUUUCUUUGAAGGCUUGGGAACGACUACAAAUAGAAAGUAUAUGGUCAAAGACUCAAUAGAUAAUUUGAUCUUAGAGGCUCCAAAAACAUCUGCAUGACAGAAAAAAAAAAAAAAAAAAAGAAUUGCAGAGUAAACUAAGUUAUGUGUGUUACAUUCAGGACUCAUGUAUAGUCACUAGCAUAUAAUCAGCAAAGACCAUUUUACCUUUUGACUGUUUUUCCUUUGACAUAAAUCUCACUUUUCCUGCCACUAGGAUCCUAUAAUUUAGUGAGGUAGAAGCUUUUGGCCGGAUGGAUGCAUAUUGAAUGUGACGCGCACGAAAGGGACUCAAAUAUUCAUAAAAUGCUUUUAUAGCGUCAUUCACUACGAAUAUUAUUUACACUCCUUUAUGCGCGUCACAUUCACUAUACUAUAUGGUUACACUACUGAACAUACAAGAACCAAAGGGUAGUUUGCCAUAGGCAUGCAUCUAGCAAAAGUAGGAACACAAUCAGGAACGGCUCAAGCAAAUUUGGGGCCUUAGGCAUAUGAAAUGGACUCUCCCAAUCCUUGGUAACUCAAUCUAAAAGGUGGGCACUGCAAUAGAUGUUUCAAGCAGAUAUAAGUACUAGGUUUUUACCACAGUCAAUAUCAAUGGCAUUCUAAAAGUAAACAGAGAAAUUAUAAAUACAGUCAAAUCUUACAAAGAAGUUUUAGUUGAAAGUAAAUUUUUUAAUAAACCUGAACAAAUUCUAAAAAUCGUGAAACUAAAAUUUUCAAACCUGAUAUAUAGCCACAAAUAAUAGCGCAAAUCAAUAACAAGAUGGAACGAACAUUUCCUGCCUCAGAACAUGCCCAGGUAAGACCCAUGAACCCAAUGACCAGCAAUGCGUAUGCAGAUAGAAGGGUUCCUGUACAAAUUUCGCAUAUUAAAGACCCAGUCAACUUAAACUAACUCAUGUAUGGAACGAAGAGUACUUAAAAAAAACUAAAGGGUCUCAAUUUGUACCUGCCAACAAUUUUUACAACUGAUUCCCUCUUGUUCUUAUCUGCUCCUGUGUCAAAAUCGUACACAUCGUUGCUACCCAUGAACCACAAUUUCUCGUCAGGAACUUAAAAUUUCAGAGUACUAGAAGUAAGGAAAAUAAAUUACAUAAUUGUUUUGUGGACACUGUAAACUACUCAAUGCCUCAAUGGUCCCAUCUGUUGAUUUUAAUCAGUUAUUCUGAUGCAUCCAUCAGGCAGUCGAAACUACCAAAAAGUCUGUGCCGUAUGUGAUCUGUAGAUAUGAUCUUCAUUUUCUGACAUAUUUGACAAACAAUAUAUUUCAGGGUUUAUUUGGAAUAAUCUUACAAAGUGUUUCUGACAGUUAGUUUUCCUUUGUUUAAUGUUGUAUGUGACAGAGUAGAAGUGGUUCAGAUCUAUGUCCUCUGACAACAAACAAAAUCUAGGCUUGCUAGUGAUUGUUCCUGCCAUAUAGUAGCUGCCGUAAUCAGUUCAAUUUCUUGGAGCUGUCAAUGAAACACACGUUAAAUUGAGCCAAGUUAUGAUAAGAAAUGAAGAUGCCAACAGUACAAAGAACCGUCUUCUGCUUGCAAACAAGCAGCUGCACUACCUACCUGCCAAUAGAAAGCAUAAGAUACAGAAGGAUUAUAUGACGCCAUAGAAAAUCUAGUUGUUACAACAGCUGUUAGAUAUCAGAGAAACACGAAAAGUUACCGUUAAUAAAGUUUUCAUUAUUAGGAUAUAUGAUCUCUUCAUGAAAAACAUAAAAGAAUUCAGUUACCAAUUUUGCAACUAAGAAUCUCCUAAGAGGCCAACAAAAAAACUCUCUCAUCAGCUAAUACUUCAAUGUUUCUCCAAUCUUUUGUGAAACUACCAAGAAAACUAGGCUAAAAUCUACCAAACAAACUAUAUGAAUUAUUGGCCUCUACAAAACAAGAGUAUGCAAUUCCAUAUUAUAAACAUAAUUGAAGUAUAUAUCAGCCUCCAUUAGUGAAUGUUGAAUGUGCUUUGGAAUGACAAUGGACAUGCCGAGCAGUAUAGAGCAACCCUUGUUGAUUACAUUUUGUUGCUUUUUAAGAAUCUUUUGAUUUAUUUUUUUUUUGGUAAAAUUUUAAGAAUCAAUUAACUUCUUAACAAAUAUCUUCAAUUCAGCAUCAAUAUCUGGCAAUAAGAGUACAUUAUAGGUUGAUGUAUUGUCAUCAAUAAAUGUAUAAUUUUCUUAAAGAAAUCACCAACCUAGUGCGAAGCUACAUACAAGUUACAACGACACAACAUAGCAUAGGCAUACAAGUAUUCCCUUGUAAGUAACAAAAAAAUUCGACUCAACCUCCUCAAUUUGGUGCAUAAAAAUCAAUCCUAUCCAGGUCGCGCAAAAUAAAAUGGAACUAGAAACCCUUGGAGUGAGAAUAUAAUGAAUUUUUAUUUUCAUCAGCCUAAUUAAUUGGUUAAAUACAGUAUAGCUCCUACCUUAAAGAUUUCACUACAUUAUGUGAACUAACAAUGGAAGAAGUGUGGUUUGAACAAAAUUUAUCAGUUUCAACUUUGAAGGAAGAGUAAUAAGAGAGUGAAAAAGAUUUUUAACUUACACAAAGAGGAACCAAAGUAACAGAGUAAUUGCUCUCCAUAUCAAAGUUGCCUUUGAAAUCUCCUCUAUCACUUCCACCUCUUUUUUUUCUUCUUGGAUAGUUUCAUCUCUACUGUUUCAGAUAUAAGCUUGACAGCAUUGUUUUCUCCUCCUUAUUACGUUAGUUUUAAUGGAAAAUGUUUGAAUUGAAGAAGAAGUAGAAGCAGAUGAUUUCAAUAGUGUUUUCAGUAUUAUUAUUAUUAUUAGAGAUAGUAGUAAUUGGAACUUUGGAAGUGAAGGAGAUCUCAGAGAAGCAAUUCAAGUGUUUGCCAUUUCACAUGACUCUCACUCUCUCUCUGUUCGAAAAAAGACUAUGAUUGUUCAAUGGGCUAUAUUUGCAAGGCCAAAUUAAUUCUUCAACCAUGAAGCCCAAGAGAAAAAACUUACAGUAGUGUGGUACUGUAGUGGGAUGGGGAAGAUGCUGCUUUCAGUAGCUCUGCAAGACUGGGUUUGAACAUCCUACUCAUAUUUUGCGAUGUCUGACGUCGAACAACUGAAUCACAUGCAUGGCUUCCAGUGUCACUACAGACAGGUUCCACGCUUUACCAUCAUUGGUUUUUUGUCAAUUUCUCCAUCAAUGUCCCAAAGGCCAAAACAAGAGCUUGACAGAGUUGUUAUACUUGUACCCCAAGAAUCGAGUGGAAAAUGUAGGCUGGUGGUUUUCCCAUAAUCCACAUUUAGCAAAUAAUCAGAAAAUUGCAUAAUAAGGUACUGUGCAUGGUUUGAACAUGUUCAUUAGGCUGACAUGAACUCUGCAUUACUUUUUUUUUUUUUUUUUUUGAUAAAACUCUGCAUUACUUGAACGAUCAAAGUCCCAACAUUUUCAACCUUUCACUAUAGAGAUAGUCAGAUAGGGCUUGGAAUUGAAUUUCCAUAACGCCUCCUCUUCCUUGAUGAAUCUCCAGCAAGAAUAUUUAGAAAUAAACAUACCAUUUCCACCAAUACAAAACAAAUGUAAAAAAAUUGCUGAUCAUUCCCAAAUAUUGGGUCCAAGGAUAAACAAUACAUCCCAAUCAUGAACAGAAUAUGCAUGACUAACCAUAUUAGUUGAGGAUUAAUAGGUUACAUCGUCUUGAACCCAGAAAGAAUCACUUCCUAGUUCCUACCCUCUAAUCGAUAUCUCAAUCUCUCAUGAAAAAUGGUUUCCAAACGGCUUGAUGAUGUUGACACCCAGUUUCAAAAAUUAUAUGAGAGGAACUGGAUGUAGAUCUGUUUGAGUGUUUUUUUACCAACUAUGCUGAUGAGUUAGGGACUCCUUUCUCUGGGUGCAUCCCAUUUGCUAUCUCACUAGGUAGAUCCAUCCCAAGAGGAAUCUUUCCUGAAUAAUUAGUUGUUGAGACAUCUGACCCUACCACACUGAAUAUAAAGGGACACAAAUUCAGCAACAUGUUCAUGUCAAAUACCAAGAAAAGAAAAAUAUACGAGAAGAUUAUAACCACAGCCA